GAUGAAUGCUGGCGGCGCGCCUAACACAUGCAAGUCGAGCGGUAACAUGGACUUCGGUCUGAUGACGAGCGGCGGACGGCUGAGUAACGCGUGGGAACAUGCCCCAAAGUGAGGAAUAACUGCCCGAAAGGGUGGCUAAUGCCGCAUAUGAUCUUCGGAUUAAAGGAUUUAUCCGCUUUGGGAGUGGCCUGCGUACGAUUAGGUAGUUGGUGAGGUAAUGGCUCACCAAGCCUACGAUCGUUAACUGGUCUGAGAGGAUGAUCAGUCAGACUGGAACUGAGACACGGUCCAGACUCCUACGGGAGGCAGCAGUGAGGAAUCUUCCACAAUGGGCGAAAGCCUGAUGGAGCGACGCCGCGUGCAGGAUGAAGGCCUUCGGGUUGUAAACUGCUUUUAUAAGUGAAGAAUAUGACGGUAACUUAUGAAUAAGCACCGGCUAACUACGUGCCAGCAGCCGCCGUAA
rnacentral:rRNA from 1 species